rnacentral:rRNA from 1 species
GAUGAACGCUGGCGGCGUGCCUAAUACAUGCAAGUCGAGCGAACGGACGAGAAGCUUGCUUCUCUGAUGUUAGCGGCGGACGGGUGAGUAACACGUGGAUAACCUACCUAUAAGACUGGGAUAACUUCGGGAAACCGGAGCUAAUACCGGAUAAUAUUUUGAACCGUAUGGUUCAAUAGUAAAAGACGGUCUUGCUGUCACUAAUAGAUGGAUCCGCGCUGCAUUAGCUAGUUGGUAAGGUAACGGCUUACCAAGGCAACGAUGCAUAGCCGACCUGAGAGGGUGGUCGGCCACCCUGGAAGUGAGACACGGUCCAGACUCCUACGGGAGGCAGCAGUAGGGAAUCUUACGCAAUGGGCGAAAGCCUGACGGAGCAACGCCGCGUGAGUGAUGAAGGUCUUCGGAUCGUAAAGCUCUGUUAUUAGGGAAGAACAUAUGUGUAAGUAACUGUGCACAUCUUGACGGUACCUAAUCAGAAAGCCACGGCUAACUACGUG